rnacentral:rRNA from 1 species
ACUCCUACGGGAGGCAGCAGUGAGGAAUAUUGCGCAAUGGGGGCAACCCUGACGCAGCGACGCCGCGUGAGCGAUGAAGGCCUUCGGGUUGUAAAGCUCUGUCACGAGGGGAAGAAAGGGGAUAUGGUUAAUACCCAUGUCCAUUGACGGUACCCUUUGAGGAAGCACCGGCUACACUCCGUGCCAGCAGCCGCGGUAAUAC